CUGGAUCUGUGGGUUGCCCGGAACUGAGUUGCGACACUCUAGGUUUCCGCCCGGAAAAAGUAAUCAAAUCACCUGAGGACCAGCAUGGCGUGGUCCGGUAAUAAGGUACCGAGAGCAGGGCCUUUUGCCUUUCCUAAGCCGGGGAUCUCUAGAGGGUGGAAGCUGUGGGAAUCGCAGCUGAGUCAGCACUGAAGGAUGGAUGCUCAAAACGAAAGACUUGGGGUUCGGAGUUCUGCAUUUGAGUCUUGUGCACCUUCACGCUUCCGAAAUCCUCCCUCCUGCUUCUCCAGCCUCUCACCCUUCCCUCCUCCCUCGUUGCUUCAGUUUACUUUCUAUCCACGCCACCUGCUAACACAGACGUCCUUUAUUGCUUCCGAACCUGGGUUCUAAAAAUCUUUGUAAGUUAUCGAGGAUAGAUCCCCUACAUGCCAGGCUCGUAAAACUUCAGAGGGGUUUUGUGAUUCUGUGAAUGAAAUAACUCAAGGUGUAAUAUUACGUAAUAUUAUGACCUUCAUAAUAAUUUAAAAAUCUCGAAUUUAUUGAAAGCUUACUGUGUGAGGCACAACUAAGCCCUUUAUUCCUAUUUAAUUAAAUCUUCACACCAAACCGUGAGACGACCAUUAUUACCCUUAGCUUGUCAGUAGGAGAACCAAGCAAGACAUGAAGAACUGAAGUGAUUAGAACGUGGUCACCCUUUCCAUGAGUGGUAACAUGUGAAUGGGAAUUCAUUCGGAGCUCUGAAAGAAAAGCAAAACAGAAUGCUCAAUUUCUAAGAAUCUAUGAUCUUAGAAUCCUAGAUUAAUAAUGGAAAUUACUGUAAACUUUAGAGAGGUUGUUUUUGAUCACUAGAGAGAGAUGCAAUGGCAAGGAUCCAUUCAUUCGUUUAAUACAAACAAGAUAGGGGUUCAAUAACGGAGCUCUGUUUUCCUCCACCCCCAUUUGGGAAUUUGAUGAAAUUAUGAACCCAUAAUGAUGUUGCUCGCUUCCUUUGUUCCUCUGCCUUCAGUUGCUGAGAACUUUGUAGCUCCCGUGAAGGACUUACUGUGGCAGAUGUACUUGAUAAAAUUCUAGCAGGUUGUAUUGCUUCAGUGUGGUAAUGAAGAGCUGCAGUACCCUCCCAGUUUGUCUUCCCUGGUUUUCUUACUGCUUCCAAAGACUUUAAAUUAUCAUAAACCAUUCUUCCAGACCAGAAUUUACACUGUCAAACUCUUUGAUGCCUUACUCUGAAUCUCUAAUUCUUGACAAAAGACUCCCAGUCUUUUAGUGUUUGCUACUUUAAAAGUAGAUUUGUGGCCGCCUAUUAAAGGAACACAGCCAGCAUAUUUUGUGAUGCCUACAUUUAAAAAAAAAAAAGAUUUUUAUGCUGAAGGAAUCACUGUGGGAUGUAAUUUGAAUUCCUCUCAAAGGUAUUCUGUAGUUUAUUAAUGUUCAUCCCAAGAUAGGUUGUUGUUGUUUCUGAAACCUGUUAAAUUUCAGAGUGUCAUGUGAUUCCAUUCUUUAUGAACUAAGGGAAACUAGUAUUUCCUUUGAGUGUUGCAAAAACGUCAAAAUUGGGGGCUCAUCCCCCACUAUAGGAGCUGGUCCAAGUUUUCCAAACACCUCUAGAGUCAGAUGAUGACCGUCUUAACUGGUCACUUUUCAGUCUUUGUCGCCUAAGAUGAUGCCCAGAACAGCUCACAUUCUGUCUGGUCAGCACAAAAGCACGGAUGAGACUGGUAGGAUCAGGACUGUUAAUUCUGCAAACAGCUUUAGACCUCAUCAAGCCCAACAUCUUACUGCCUGACUGAACUAACAGUGAGGUUAAGUGACAUUGCCUAGGGGUCAGAGCUAAUUAGAGGAGAUAGGACUAGACCCAGGUCUCUGGAUUACUAACCUAGGUUUUUGGUUAUUUUUUCCCCACCAAAAGACCCUUCAUUUUCUUUCUUGAAUACAUUAUAGUGUUUUAACAACAUAAAAUGUUUGUGAGGAUAGACUGUUAAAGCCGUAUCAUCUUGGUGACUCAAUCUAUAGUUUACUUUGAAAUUAUGAGCUCAGGUCUUUUGUGGUUUCUGUUUAAUUAAAUUUUGUGUGCAAAAUGCAUAGAGCUUCACAUAUGUCUGGUUUUGCUUCUGAUUUGUUUUAUUUUCUUAGUCUCUGUGAUAGUAUUAAUCAUUAAGUUGACAAACCUUAGAAUCGUGGGCCUUAGAAUCAGAUAGGCCUUUGGGCCUGCCUGUGGGGGAUUGUCUUGAUUAUGGUAAUUGAUGAGCAAAGACCCAUCUCAACUGUGGGUGUGCCCGUUCCCUCCUCAAAGGACUCAGGAUUUUAUAAAGUGGGAGAGAUAAGCUGAGCAUUGGCAUGUGUGCGUUCAUUGUGCUCUGGAUGUAACAUGACCAGCUGUGGCUGGAUGUAACAUGACCAGCUGUGGCUGGAUGUAACAUGACCAGCUGUGGCUGGAUGUAACAUGACCAGCAGUGGCUGGAUGUAUCAUGACCAGCUGUGGCUGGAUGUAACAUGAUCAGCUGUGACUGGAUGUAACAUGACCAGCUGUGGCUGGAUAUACCGUGACCAGCUGCCUCAAGUGCCUGCUGACUUGUUAUGGCUCCCUCACUAUGAUGAGCUAUAACAUGACCUAUGACCUAAAAUAAAGGCUUUAUCCCUUAAGUUACCUUCCUCAGGGUAUUUUACCACAACCAU
rnacentral:lncRNA from 1 species